GAAAUGCGAUAAUUAAUGUGAAUUGCAGAAUUCAGUGAAUCAUCGAGUCUUUGAACGCACAUUGCGCCCCCUGGUAUUCCGGGGGGCAUGCCUUUCCGAGCGUCAUUGCUGCCCUCAAGCACGGCUUGUGUGUUGGGCUUCCGUCCCUGGCAACGGGGACGGGCCCAAAAGGCAGUGGCGGCACCAUGUCUGGUCCUCGAGCGUAUGGGGCUUUGUCACCCGCUCCCGUAGGUCCAGCUGGCAGCUAGCCUCGCAACCAAUCUUUUUAACCAGGUUGACCUCGGAUCAGGUAGGGAUACCCGCUGAACUUAAGC
rnacentral:misc_RNA from 1 species